AUUGAACGCUGGCGGCAUGCCUUACACAUGCAAGUCGAACGGCAGCACGGGAGCUUGCUCCUGGUGGCGAGUGGCGAACGGGUGAGUAAUACAUCGGAACGUACCCUGAAGUGGGGGAUAACGUAGCGAAAGUUACGCUAAUACCGCAUAUUCUGUGAGCAGGAAAGAGGGGGAUCGCAAGACCUCUUGCUUUAGGAGCGGCCGAUGUCGGAUUAGCUAGUUGGUGAGGUAAAGGCUCACCAAGGCGACGAUCCGUAGCGGGUCUGAGAGGAUGAUCCGCCACACUGGGACUGAGACACGGCCCAGACUCCUACGGGAGGCAGCAGUGGGGAAUUUUGGACAAUGGGCGCAAGCCUGAUCCAGCCAUGCCGCGUGAGUGAAGAAGGCCUUGGUUGUAAGCUCUUCGGUGGGAAGAAGUUAGCGUUCGGUUAAUACCUGGAGUAGAGUGACGGUACCGCAUAAGAAGACACCGGCUAACUACGUGCCAGCAGCCGCGGUAAC
rnacentral:rRNA from 1 species